UGCAGUCGAGCGCACUGGCCCAACUGAUAUGACGUGCUUGCACUGAUUUGACGAUGGAUCACCAGUGAGCGGCGGACGGGUGAGUAACACGUGGGCAACCUGCCCCAAAGCGGGGGAUAACAUUUGGAAACAGGUGCUAAUACCGCAUGAUUCGUAAAAUCACAUGAUUUUACGAUAAAAGAUGGUUUCGGCUAUCACUUUGGGAUGGGCCCGCGGUGCAUUAGCUAGUUGGUAAGGUAACGGCUUACCAAGGCGAUGAUGCAUAGCCGAGUUGAGAGACUGAUCGGCCACAAUGGAACUGAGACACGGUCCAUACUCCUACGGGAGGCAGCAGUAGGGAAUCUUCCACAAUGGGCGCAAGCCUGAUGGAGCAACACCGCGUGAGUGAAGAAGGGUUUCGGCUCGUAAAGCUCUGUUGUUGAAGAAGAACGUGCGUGAGAGUAACUGUUCACGCAGUGACGGUAUUCAACCAGAAAGUCACGGCUAACUACGUGCCAGCAGCCGCGGUAAUACGUAGGUGGCAAGCGUUAUCCGGAUUUAUUGGGCGUAAAGCGAGCGCAGGCGGUUACUUAAGUCUGAUGUGAAAGCCUUCGGCUUAACCGAAGAAGUGCAUCGGAAACUGGGUGACUUGAGUGCAGAAGAGGACAGUGGAACUCCAUGUGUAGCGGUGGAAUGCGUAGAUAUAUGGAAGAACACCAGUGGCGAAG
rnacentral:rRNA from 1 species